UGGGUGACUGUGGUAACAUGCUAGCAGGCAAAGUAAUCACAAGGAAGUUUCUGGUGGAGCACCGUCAGGAACUUACAGCGACAGUGCAAUUUAUGGAUGCUACUUGCUCAGCUUGCUAACCCGAGCUCGUUAGCCUUGGCCAAUUACUCCGUCCACUUGCCCAAAUACAGCAAAUACAGGCUCCACAAACCAACAUGGUCAGCAGCCAAAAUGCUAAAUUCGAAGCUUCCACCAAGCAAUGGGUGACAUCGUGGCUUCAUAGUUAUGACAGCGGCUAAUUCUUCCCUGUGAGUGAUGAGAACUUUAUUAGGCAAUCCCCGCCGCAGACACAGCCGGGUGCACACAGCUGGGUGUCAGCCUUCACCCCGAUGACAGCUAAUUCCCUAGAGGACUCCUGGCAUGCUCUGUCUCCUCUGCCUCAGUCCCACCAUCCUCCACUCCCUUCUUGGGCUCCAGUGGUGGCUGCAUGCUUUCGUCGGGGUAAAGCCAGUUCUCAGGCGUGGCGGUGCUGGCCUCUUGCUGGUUCCCGUGCAGGUACAGGUGAUCGGUUUCCUGGCUGGAGAGGAAGUGGUAGGUCUCGUCCUCCAGCUGCUGCGUGGGACCCCAGACCACCGCCCACAGAGGGGUGGGCGUGACUUGGGCGGUGACGGACAGCUGGACCGACAGGGCGUCCACCUGCUCCUCUGCCUCUCUGUCGUCACGGUUACAGGUGGAGGGCUGUGUCACCAAAGCAACCAGGAGGAGAGAGAUGAGGCCAGUCAGUCGUGCGACAGGAGAGAUGGAGCUGGAAGGAAAGGUGAAGGAGAAAGGAUGAGAGAGGGUGGAGUGACAGGACAGUUAUCUGAGGAAAUGCAUUGUCCGCGGCCGCCCUGCACGACCUCAACAGCUUAGACAUUGAUUCUCAAGCCGGCCAUCACUCAGAAUGACAUUUUAUGCAUCUGCGUCCCACACAUCUCUCCACCUCAGAAACUAUCCAUCUUACCAUCUCUCCAUCGCUUCACUCUGUUCACUGAGACUCCUCUUCUCCGAUCAUCUCUCUCUGUAAGAGAAAACAGAGGGGCAAGAGAGGAAUAAAAGCCAGAAAGGGG